UACGUAGGGUGCGAGCGUUGUUCGGAAUCACUGGGCGUAAAGCGCACGUAGGCGGAUGUGUCAGUCAGGGGUGAAAUCCCGGAGCUCAACUUCGGAACUGCCUUUGAUACAGCACGUCUUGAGUCCGGAAGAGGUGGGUGGAAUUCCUAGUGUAGAGGUGAAAUUCGUAGAUAUUAGGAAGAACACCGGUGGCGAAGGCGGCAUCCCGUGGACCGAAACUGACACUGAGGCGCGAAAGCCAGGGGAGCAAACGGG
rnacentral:rRNA from 1 species